UAGCACACACUGAUGAUUAACUCUGCACGAUGUUGCAGAUGGGAGAGGAGCCAGGUUUGCUAAAGUAAUUGUGGUGAUAGAAAUGUAUUAGCUUCAGCAGCUACUGAGGUGUCCUAUUCUAUCCUAGUACAGUG
ensembl:snoRNA SNORA66 Small nucleolar RNA SNORA66